CAGGUGCUGUCCAAGGCCCCGAAUCCCUCGGACCCCUCGGCCCCCCCGGACACUCAGGUGACCGUCCAGCUCUUCGACUCGGAGCCGCUGUCUCUGACGGUGCCGGGGCACAUCCCGUGGGACGAUCCCAAAUUCAUGGAGCUCGUGGCCCAGCAGGCGCUCCGGCACUACAAGGAGAACUCCAUAGAGUAGCCGGGCCAUCCCGCGGCUCCGCAGCCCUUCCAGCCCCGUUCCCGGCGGGAAUUGUCGCCGUUGCUGUGCCUCCCCCCACUCCCCUCCUCUCCCUCCUGCUGCCGGGACCACCCCCCAGCCCGUCCCGGGGGUCCCAAACUUGACAAUAAAGGUAGAGUUGGAUCCUUG